GGUCCGAUGGAUGAGUGGCUUAGUCACCGGUCUGCAAAACCGUCUACAGCGGUUCGAAUCCGCUUCGGACCUCCA
rnacentral:tRNA from 1 species